rnacentral:rRNA from 1 species
UACGGGGGGGGGCAAGCGUUGUUCGGAAUUACUGGGCGUAAAGGGCGCGUAGGCGGAAUGCUUUGUCGGGCGUGAAAUUCCAGGGCUCAACCUUGGGGCUGCGUUCGAGACGGAUAUUCUUGAGUUCGGAAGAGGGUCGUGGAAUUCCCGGUGUAGUGGUGAAAUGCGUAAAUAUCGGGAGGAACACCAGUGGCGAAGGCGACUUCCUGGCCUGUUCUUGACGCUGAGGCGCGAAAGCUAGGGGAGCAAACGGGG